rnacentral:rRNA from 1 species
AUGAAGGAGCUUCAAGAUGAGAAUUGGAUCAGAUCUAUCGCCCGUCUGGCAUCGCCCGCCCAACUACACAAGUUCAUUACGCUUGCAUCUGUGACCUCUCAGAUUGCAUUAUCCGCUGACCAGGAGGACUCCAUUUCUUGGCGAUGGACCCCUAAUGGCAUCUACUUCGCUACUUCAGCUUACGCGGCCCAGUUCUCUGGAUCCUUCCCCAGGUUCUCCCCGUCCAAGAUUUGGGAGGCACACGCGGAGCCAAAAUGCAAGCCCUUCUCAUGGCUAGUGCUCCAUGGGAAGUGA